UAACAACACACAACAUUCCAGGAAUGUACUACCAAAGUUCUAUCAAUAUUUGAAUGUCCUGGACAUUUAGGGAACAUUCGGUGAACAUCUGAUUAAAUUAUUCGUGGAAUGUUACCAUAAGACAUUCUGUGAACAUACUACCAAUGUUCCUAUAUGUUCAUUUUCAAAUUCACGGCGCAUGUAUUUGUGCAUGGUGCUUAGAGAGGGCAUCACGUGACUAAAAACGACCAAUGACCUCACUUCAGACUUCGGUGCUUCGGCCAUCUUGACAUGCAUCUUGGCCUUGGCCACCUUGCCGUGCGUGAUCGUUGUUUGUUUUUAUUUGUGCUUUUUAAGAAUAUUUUUUAAUUCGGAUACUUUUAUAAUAACUUUAAUAGUAUUAUUAAUAUAGUGCAUAAAAUCAGUUGGAGUAGCAGAAGCAAUGUAGAUAAAAAAUCUGCAGGAAUAAUGUUUCAAAGCUUUCCAGAAGAUCCUGCAAAGAAGGCAUGAAGUAUUGAUCAGAUUUGUUAAUAGAGCAGUAUGUUCAAAACAUUUUUUAGAAAAAGAUAUUGACAGAACUUCACUUUCAACCGUUUGAGAGACUGUGCUGUUCCAAUAGCUUAUAUCACACAGAAUCAGCUGAGAGAAGUGGUCUACAAAAAACCAGGAAGGAAAUGGAAUAUGUGGCUAUGAAAGGCAAAAGAAAGGUUUACAAAGCAAAUGUGACACAUUUUUUUAUAGGAAUAUCAGUAAAUUACAUUAAAAAAAUGUAUGAAAAGAUUUUUUGCAAUAAAAAUGUUUAUAUUUAUCAAGGAUGCAUUAUUUGGUAUGGCCACAUAUCGUCAGUGAU